UCUGCCCUUCAAACGUAGGCCACAUUUAUGUGUUUCUCCAAGCAUCACUCAGACGCACGACAUGAACGGAGAGAACCGUUUUACUUGUGAAAAUGAGCAUUGUCAGCAUCCACUCUAGCGAAGUGCAGUCGCACUGUUGAAUGUUUAGUGCUCUUUGGUGCUGUCAUGAAGUGCAAUAUCUAUACAUCUGUAUGUGCGUUGCCUGCCACUGCCCCUCCAAAAGAAGGAUCUCUCCUGGAGUAGAGUCAGUGAGAAGGCUGACUAUGUGAUCUCACUAAAAUAAGAAAGGGAGCUGAGAUAUUCAGAAUAUAUGGCCAGCACAUUCAGAUCCAGCGCAUGUCUGAAAGGAGCUUAUAUACAAAGGAAAAGAGCCUUCUUAUGAGGAAGUCUUACAUGUGCGUGCCGCCCAAGAGGAAGGAACCCCACCAGCUUCACUUGUAGCGACAAGAUGUGUUCAAUAUUCAACUGAACCCACUAAAUUUAAAUAGUAUUUUGGAAAAAAAAAAUCUUGCAUAUGUUUGGAGGUUACCAAAGCAAUGCAUUGCUUCAUCUUCAGAAAUUGCUCCAUACGGCAAGGUUUCAUAACAACAUGUCCCGCACAGCACCUCGUAUAUUUUGUCCUACCAGAGCUAAUGUAGCAUCCCUUCAAAUCGAGGGACUCCACGGGUGAGUUGAUGAGUAAACCUGCGCAACGAUAGGUCCACUGCUGUGUGUGAGAUUGGAAAGGAUGGGGAGGACAGAGUUCUUGUUGAAACAUGAAGACACAUACUGUUACACUUUGUCACACACACUACAGCCGACCUGUGGCUUUGACAUUUGGCUUUGUGUUUAUAGCCGAUAACCCACAGUUACUCAGUAUCCAGUUAAGGGAAGUUUGCAGAAGAAUGGCAGGCAUGUAGGAGGUGAUCAACUCUGCUUUCUGACUCAAAGUAAAAAGCCUCGUGGAGCUCUUUCCCUCUGCAGGUGUAAUUGACUGCCAGGGUUUGUGUGUGCCUCUGAGUGUGUGUUGUAACCUAUGAAACAUGAUGUAGAUGGAGAAAAAAAAUAAAUUUCUUCAUAAACUUGGUACAGUUUUCUUUGCAUCUGGAACAAGGUGGUUUGACAUUAAGAGAGUGUUACUUUCUUAUCAAAAAAUGAU